UACAGAGGUGGCAAGCGUUGUUCGGAAUUACUGGGCGUAAAGGGCUUGUAGGCGGCCAACUAAGUCCGACGUGAAAUCCCCAGGCUUAACCUGGGAACUGCGUCGGAUACUGGAUGGCUUGAAUUCGGGAGAGGGAUGCAGAAUUCCAGGUGUAGCGGUGAAAUGCGUAGAUAUCUGGAGGAAUACCGGUGGCGAAGGCGGCAUCCUGGACCGACAUUGACGCUGAGGAGCGAAAGCUAGGGGAGCAAACGGG
rnacentral:rRNA from 1 species